ACGGUCAUACCAUGCUGAAUAUACCGGUUCACCGAAGUCAAGCAUCAUUGAGCGCAGACAGUACUUGGGUGGGUGACCACCUGGGAACACCGCGUGCCGUU